UACGGAGGAUGCGAGCGUUAUCCGGAUUUAUUGGGUUUAAAGGGUGCGUAGGCGGUCCGUUAAGUCAGCGGUAAAAUUGCGGGGCUCAACCCCGUCGAGCCGUUGAAACUGUCAGACUUGAGUUGGCGAGAAGUACGCGGAAUGCGCGGUGUAGCGGUGAAAUGCAUAGAUAUCGCGCAGAACUCCGAUUGCGAAGGCGGCCUGCUGGACUGCAACUGACGUUGAGGCCCGAAAGCGUGGGGAGCAAACAGG
rnacentral:rRNA from 1 species